rnacentral:lncRNA from 1 species
UAAUUGCCUGUCAAAACACUUAAUUGCAUUUGAGAAACCUUGUGUCCAUCUUUCUUGUUGACAGGGGUCCUCAGAUUUCUUUUCUUAGAUCCAGAACUCUCAGCUGAUACAGGCUUCAGUCCGUGUGAGCAAUGGACAAGCUGUCACUGCCCGUUACAUUUUGGAUGAUGCCACGAGACUCUUCUACGUUGGGGGAAAGUUGGCAUUGGAAAAAGGAGCAUCUGCUUUCCCUGAGAACCGAAUUCCCUGAUUGAAGCUUCCUCGGGAAUGUAUCGUGCAAGUUGGGACACCGAAGGUCAAGGCUUUGGAAUCACGCUGCAAAUAUCUCUGAUCCUGCCUCCUAAAAUACAGCCAGACCAAGAAUGAUGUCGCCAUGCAGUGAGUGAAAGCAAGAUCCCCCGCCUUGAGAAAAGAUUGUGCUUCACUAACCAGACGCUUGGUUCAUGGCAGUCUAAGUGGUUUCUGUUGUAGGGGGGAGAAACAAAAACACAA